UACAUAUAUAACGAAUUUCUGGUUUAAUGUACUAUAUAAUGUUAGACCAAAAAAUCCGCAUAACGUACAAUCACAUCCGUUUUAGUGAAUUUUCUGGGUUUUAAUUUGCUGGGUGAGGGACGAAGCGCGGCAGCUUCGCUAUGAUUGGCUGGCCCAACACACAGGUAACGUGUUAAUGAAGAUGGGGAAGAAAUCUGAGAAGACAAGGAAGGUUCUUGGUAUGUAAACAAAGGCGGAAAAUUUGCAGACGGAAACGAUCCCUAUCGUCUGACAAAUUCAUGCAAUAAGUUCAUGCGGAACGUUGAAAAAUAGACGGAAAUCGCAUUAAUCGAUGGAUAAAGUGCUAGUGUGACACCGACUUCAGGACAAGACUUCUAUAAUCAAGAGUUUGGAGGAGGGUGCCAAGCAGUUGAUGCUGGGAGAUGAAAUGAAACUUUAACGGUUGACUGUCCAUCAUUUGGGGGAAGUGGGACCAGAUAAAAGAAGCCUCAUCGGUCGUCAUUCAGACUGGACAGCUGCGACUCCGAGACUUGACAGGAUGGAGCUGAUGCUGACCACCUGGAUUGAGGACCUAAACCAGAAGCGAAUGCCUGUUAACCAGGCUUUGAUCAUGGACAAAGCGAGAUUGCUGUGGGACGCCAUCAAGGUGGAGGAAGAGGCAGAGCCACAGCCACCUUAGGGACACAGCCAUCCACCUCAGAACCACACCGGUACAAGGAAUUCAAGGCCAGCGGGGGAUGGUUUCUAUAGUUUAAGAUGCGGGCAGCGCUUCAUAAUAUCAAGAUUACGGGGGAGCGCGCAAGUGUUGACGAGGUGGCAGCAGAAGCCUUCCCUGAUGAGUUCAAGAGGCUGGUGAGGGAGGGAGGCUACUCACCUCGCCAAGUUUUCAAUAUUGACGAGACGGGUCUGUAUUGGAAGUGCAUGCCCAGCAGAACAUUUGUGGUGAGGACAGAGAGGUUGGCUCCAGACUUUUUGUGUUAGUGUUUUUUUGUAUUAGUGUUUUUGAACAUUUGUUGUAAUGAUAGUCAAUAAAACACCUCUUGUUUAUUAA